AAAGAAUCAGUCAGAUAAAGGUAAUUGUAACAAGGCAAACAACACAAACACUCCUUAGUUGCAUGAGGUGGUGUGUGUGUGUGUGUGUGUGUGUGUGUGUGU